rfam:Oryza nivara chromosome 4, whole genome shotgun sequence.
UUCCAAAACAAGUAUAAGUUUCCGCGCCUAACUUUAAUCGUUCAUCUUAUUUAAAAUUUUUUUAAUUAGUAUUUUUGUUAUUAUAAGAUGAUAAAACAUGAAUAAUAUUUUACUCGUAACUUAUGUUUUUAAUUUUUUUUAAAAAAAAUUCAAAUAAGACGGACAGUCAAAGUUGGACGCGGAAAACCAUAGCUGCACUUAAA